rnacentral:lncRNA from 1 species
AUGCUCUGCCCUGGCCUGCUGUGGGCAUUCGUGGUCCCCUUUGGCUUCAGAUCCAGCAUGGCUCAGAAAGUAACCCAAGUUCAGACCACAGUAACUAGGCAGAAAGGAGUAGCUGUGACCUUGGACUGCAUGUUUGAAACCAGAUAGAAUUCGUACACUUUAUACUGGUACAAGCAACAAGCAACCUCCCAGUGAAGAGAUGGUUUUCCUUAUUCAUCAGGGUUAUUCUAAGUCAAAUGCAAAGCCUGUGAACUUUGAAAAAAAGAAAAAGUUCAUCAACCUCACCAUCAAUUCCUUAAAACUGACUCAGCCAAGUACUUCUGUGCUCUCAGGAAUCC